UGAAGAUCGGCGCAUCGCAGAAGGCAAGAGAGGAGAAGAAAAUGGGAGGAUCGAAUAUGGCGACCUGGUGUUCAGAGAUGGGGUAAUCAAGGAGGAUGAAGCUAAGGGUAGGAUAGUCCAACAAGCUCAAUCUUUCUUCCCAUCUACAACGGAAAACAAAAUACCAGGUGGAGGCUCAGAUUUUGUUUUCCUCAUAUUUGAGGAAUUAGUUUUCCAAUGGAAAAUAAUUUCCAUGAACCAAACACCAGAAAACAUGCUUUUCCUCAAAUUUUAGGAAAAUGUUUUCCUUGAAAGUGCUUUUCCGGCGAACCAAACAUGGCCUUAGUUAUACCCAAUGUUAAAAAAAAGUUAGGCGUUUGAUAAUUUUUUUUAGAGUUGAUAAUUAUAAUUUGUGUAAAUAUGAUUACUACUAUUACUAAGUGACUAAGUCCGUAUUAUAUAUUUUUUUUGAAAGAAGUCCGUACUAUA